AGGUGUUUAUCGUGAUGAAUAUAUUUAUAUCAAACAGUUAUCCCUGUCAUAAGACUUGUUGAUGAAAUUUGUUUUCUGAAACUUAU